ACUUUUUUAGUAUAAAUUAUUAUAUUUGACUUCCAAUCAAAAGAUCUUAUUCAAGAAAAAGUA
rnacentral:tRNA from 1 species